GCUGGGCGUGGUGAUGCGCGCCUGUAAUCUACCUACUUUGGAGGCUGAGGUAGGAGGAUGGCUUGAGCCCAGGAGUUUGAGGCUGCAGUGAGCUGUGAUCACACCACUGCACUCAAGCCUGGGCAACAGAGUGAGACCCUGUCUCUU
rnacentral:SRP_RNA from 2 species